UACGGGGGGGGCAAGCGUUGUUCGGAAUUACUGGGCGUAAAGGGUUCGUAGGUGGCCAACUAAGUCAGACGUGAAAUCCCUCAGCUUAACUGGGGAACUGCGUCUGAGACUGGAUGGCUCGAGUGCAGGAGAGGAACGCGGAAUUCCAGGUGUAGCGGUGAAAUGCGUAGAUAUCUGGAGGAACACCGGUGGCGAAGGCGGCGUUCUGGACUGCAACUGACACUGAGGAACGAAAGCCAGGGGAGCAAAUGGG
rnacentral:rRNA from 1 species